rnacentral:rRNA from 1 species
GACGAACGCUGGCGGCGUGCUUAACACAUGCAAGUCGAACGGUAAGGCCCUUCGGGGUACACGAGUGGCGAACGGGUGAGUAACACGUGGGUGAUCUGCUCUGCACUUCGGGAUAAGCCUGGGAAACUGGGUCUAAUACCGGAUAGGACCACUGCCUGCAUGGGUGGUGGUGGAAAGCUUUUGCGGUGUGGGAUGGGCCCGCGGCCUAUCAGCUUGUUGGUGGGGUGAUGGCCUACCAAGGCGACGACGGGUAGCCGGCCUGAGAGGGUGACCGGCCACGCUGGGACUGAGAUACGGCCCAGACUCCUACGGUAGGCAGCAGUGGGGAAUAUUGCACAAUGGGCGCAAGCCUGAUGCAGCGACGCCGCGUGAGGGAUGACGGCCUUCGGGUUGUAAACCUCUUUCAGCACCGACGAAGCGCAAGUGACGGUAGGUGCAGAAGAAGGACCGGCCAACUACGUGCCAGCCGCCGCCGUAA